rnacentral:lncRNA from 1 species
ACACCAGCCCUCAGUCACUGGGAGAAGAACCUCUCAUACCCUCGGUGCUCCAGUCCCCAGCUCACUCAGCCACACACACCAUGUGUGAAGAGGAGACCACCGCGCUCGUGUGUGACAAUGGCUCUGGCCUGUGCAAGGCAGGCUUCGCAGGAGAUGAUGCCCCCCGGGCUGUCUUCCCCUCCAUUGUGGGCCGCCCUCGCCACCAGGUGCGUGCUCAUCUGGAUACCACCAGGCUUUGAGCCACUAGGAGUAAGCGCUGCACUGUGGAGACCCUGCUGAGCUGGGGGUUAGGGGAAGGAAAUGUGUGUGUGUGUGUGUGUGUGUGUGUGUGUGUGUGUGUGUGUGUGUGUCUGUGCGUGUGUGUGUGUGUGUGUCUGUGCAUGCACAUGCGUGUGUGCACGCCAGGUGUAGGGAGUUCUUUUCUGAUUAACUGAUAGAGCAGGACCCUUUAAAUAGAAAUAUCCAGGGCCAAAACCAACAUACAUCAGGCACACAAUGACACUACUAUGUCUGGCUUACAUUUGGGGGGUUGCCAGGUUUGGAAAAGUUAAUUUAUAUGGGAUUGAACAAGCCU